GUCACAUCUGCCGUCCCAAGGCCCCCCGCACCCGUCCGGGGAGAAUGGCUGUAUCACCUUGCUGGUGAUGUCCAUCCCAUCUGUGUCCCUCAGCUCCCACCAGAACAGGAGGUCAGCACGUGAAAGCCCACCUGCAGGAGAGAGGACUUUCUGGAAGGCAAGUUCAGCCUUGCUAUCUGCGCCUGGCAUGUAGAAUGAAGACUGGAUCGUUUGGAGCAAAGGCCUCCCUGCAGUCACUGACAGCAGGGGGUUUGCAGACAGCUCAGCAGGAUGUCCUGGGACCAGUGCAGCCCAACUGGAAGUACCAGCGAGCUGAAAAACUCCCUUCAGAAGCACUCAGCCAUGGCCUACUGAGGAACUGCAAAGGCCUCGUCUGAGAUGUGCAGAAGGCUCACACCAAUUUAAAGAUGCAUGAAUUCUGCUCUGUCAUAACCAUAUGAUGCCAGAAAGACCUGCUGCUGCUUCGAGUGACCAACUGCUCGUCUGAUGGCAGCUCUGAAGUCCAAAAUGAGAUUCCUCUGCAUAAGGACUGGCUAUUCAGAGAUGCACGUGGAGUCCUGCAACUGCUCCUGAAAUGAGUGGUAACUGACUUCAGGCACCACUGCAAAACACUGCUGGCUCUCCCGGACGCCUUUUUUUAAUUGAAGACGCUCGGAUGUUACAAGGUGCUUCUAACAAGAUGGCAGACGUAUUACCAACCCGAGGAGGACUGCCUUUCUGGAACUGAACACGGCACCUGAUAACCAACCACUGCACCACUUCCUCAGAAGAAUGCAAUGUGCGUCGUACACCGAAGUCAUACUGUAACAGCAACAGAAGCAGCUGUGUUUGCAUUGCCCACUCGCAGGGAGCCAGAGUGCUUGGCUGCUCCUUCCCCGGCAUAAUCCCAUUGAGCCCGGCAGGCUGCGGCCAGACAACGUGUCUGCACUGCUGACGGCGAGCUUCCAUCAGGGAUUUGGACAUCUCCCCGAUCUGAACUCCGCUUGUAAAUAACUGCAGGUGAAAUAUGCACCCGUAAUUACUGUUUUCCUCACAAAAAUGUUGGCAUUUGAUCCUUCCCUUUCUAUUUUUUUCUUCAUUAUAAAGCACAAACAUGAAAAAUAUACCAUCAUACACCGCUCCGUGCGCAGAGACAUUUUACCCUUUAAGCCUCAAAAGGAAUAUCAUGCCCACGUAAAUGACCUAAUUACUGUGUGUGCGCUCAUCAUGUCCCAGGUCUGUGUGCAGAUAUACACAUAAAGGCAAUAGCAGCUUUGGGAAAUAACCUUCCUCAUUAUAAAACAGCCAUAUACAUGUUCUCCUGUGUGUAAAUGUGUGCUGCUGACCGAAAUAUAAUCACACGGCCUUGCUGAUGGGGUAUGGCAAUGGAUGGGGAGUAUGUGUGUGUGUGAAGGAGUUUGGUAAGCUAUGUCUCCUAAAUCACAGAGAGCAUCAAGUCAGUGUGAGUUAGCCUCCUAAAAUCUGACCUUCGUGUUGCCUAUAAUCGUCCUUAAGUUGGACCGUUCAUUGGAGAGCAUAACGCUCUGCCAUAAAGACAACCCGUGCACUUCCUUUUGUUCUGCCAGUGUCCGCAAUCCGGGGAGCUGUUGUGAACACAGCAGUUGCUGUUGGCGGAGGUAGCUGAGCAGUUGUGUCUUUUUCUCCUCUCUUGGCACAUGAAUCGGCGUUCUAAAAAUUCACCGUAGUAAUCACAAAAUGCUGCUGCAGAGAAUGACUUGAUAAAACCUUCUGAGAUUUCAUCCUACCUCGUCCCUUUGUUUCAUAACUAGAAUGAGUAUAAUGAAUGCAAAAACUCGGUGAAUAGAGCUCAGCAGGGCCUACUUUUUUCUCAUGACUCCUGUGAUUAUAAUAAUUUGAUUUUAUAGGUGUCUAUCCUAAGACCCCAGCUAGGGAGCAAUCUUUACUGAGUCAUGAACUUUCACAUCAUUAAAUCUCUCCACAUUUAUUUUAAACAUAUCAGAAGUGUCAAAUAACUUUAGAUGUACUAAAUUUUAUUUGCAUUGGGUGAAAUGAAGUUCAGCCACGCGGGAAAAGAAAUGGGAUCGCUUCCGGAGCGCUCAGGAGGGCGGCUCUGCGCUCGGCUCUGUGCCAUUCGCCCCAUAGGGCGGCACAGCACGUCUCCCAUCUAGGCCAGGACACGUGUUUACAAGGAUGGGAAUCCGAGUAAUUUCCUACCCGUCUGAAGGGAAUAUGAAGGCCUCCUGUCAGUGGGAGGCGUAUUAUUUAUGUUCCUUUUUUUAUUAUUGUUGUUGUUGAUUUCAAAAAAUAUUUCUUUGUUGGUUCAACGCUGACUCCCGAUAGAAAGUGAUGAAAUGCCCAAUAUGUUAAAAAACCUUAUCAGUAAAUCAGAAGCAGAACUAUAAAUUUUGGCUUUUGAAACCGAACUGACUGUUGAGGAUCAUUUUGCUCCUGAAAUAUUACAGCAGUGAUCAAUUUGCUGUAAAAUUAAGCAGUUUAGCUCUGCAAUCUAUAGAUGGAAAACAUGUUGUUCUUGAGCAAAGUUUAUGCCCUGCCCAAGGGAUAAAUUAAAUUUUAUGGGUAAGACAUGCAUUAUUAUAUGCUUAUCUGUUUAACAUAUCAUUCUUUUCCACAUCAGUAUUAUAAAUAUUUUUAAUCAUGCAUUUGAUCUCUUGUGCAAACAGUGAUAUGGUAAUUCCCCCUGCCCCCCUCAAAAAAUAUGACCAAACACAGUUAAUUCAUCACAGAACAGGGGAGAAUAUUCUAAUCUUCCUGAGAAAUAUGCUGAAGAUGAAGGCAGAGGCACUUAAAAUUGGGGCUACUUUCUAAUCAUGGGGUGGAAUGCAGUCUUCCUGAAGGAGAGGUGUAGCUACAUUGCCCAUCUUUAGUGUGGCUGUUAUUACUGAGUAUUUCUAAGUCUCCAACCAGAACCAGGGGCUGCAAUCUGAGACAAUUCACUUUAAAAGUUAGGGAAAGCAGUGAAUAUGCGCCUUUAAUAACCUUGUGACCAGUUCUGUACAUUGCUGAUGGUUUCCUUUGAAAGGUAUGGACUGGAAUCAAAGCUCCUGAGCGGCCGCCGGGUGCCCUCCAACCACUGGCCAGGAUUGUCAGUCAGCUUCACAUGUAUUUUUGUCUUCUUCCACUAAAGGAUAAAGAGGGCAGAUUCAAACCCCAUUGCUGGUUAAUUCAUAUGGCCAGUUUGAAUGGGAAGAGUAAACAGCACGGACGUCUUAACAUAGCUAUCUAUCUGCUCACCAGUUGCCUUCAGCAUCUGUCACGAUGCUGCCAUCGUGAAUACUCCAUGUCAUGUUGUUCUGUGUGGAAUCUCCCCCAUAUGCAAUUCUGAGCUGAAUUACAUGAGAUUCAGCUAAUUUCAUCUGGAACUGUACAACUUCUUGACAGAGCUUUGAAAAUCUAAAGCAUGGGUCCUUGCAGUGUUACCUGCAUGGCUGACAACCCUUCUCUGCCCUUACCACCAGUUUCCUUUCAGUCACACAUAUCAUCAGUCUUCUGCCUUUUGGUGCCUGCGUACCACUGACAUUGUUCCCAGUCCUCUCAGUCUGCUUUGUUUCUUACAUUUUAUUUUCUGUAGCAUAUGCUGCCAUGUUUUAUCCAACAUGACUGCUUUAAACACACACAUCUUAGCCCGUAGUUUAGUCCAUCUAUAAUACGUUUCCAUGUGAAUAAACUUCUUUCCAUUUAAGGUGAGUAUCUUAAUUUUAAAAAAGGGGAGGGGAAAGACAAGGGAUGGGGAGGGUGGGAGAUGCACCUUCCUUCAGGGUGAGUCCCACCCCGCCAUGGAGGAGGUGCCGGGCAAUGCACUGCAGGACACAGGUUGCCUCAUCAGGAAGAUGAGCAUGGCGGGGAUGAGCUGCUGUCUGCACUGCAGCACAGUGGGGAUCCACCAGUUGAUGUUUUGCAGUUCUUGGGAGUUGUAAAGAGCCGUUCAAGUGCUGAGUGUUACCAUUGUUUCAUCCAGCUGCUUUACGCUCAAAAGAGCCACUAUGAGGAGCAGUGCUAAGGUGUCCCUUCUUAUCGGCAUUCUCAGUCACCAUGAGGGGUCUCUGCACUGUGUGUUCUUCUCAGAGUGCUGCUGAGAUGGAAUCGCUGUGGCUGUACAGAUGGGCCAUGCACUGACUUCCGUGGUAAUUUGUUACAACCUUCUCUGAGAACUGGGCUGACUUCCCAAAGGGGCAGAGAAAUCCUUCCUGCUCCUCCCUGCCUCUCGGGCGGAAUGAGACAGAGGAGGUGGUUCUGGACUCCGAUAUCUCACACAACUCAACUACACUUGAUUAUUAUUUGCUUCUCGCAACCUGAAAAGAAACCUACUACCAGAUUUGUCUGUCUCAACCCCGCUGAAGCUGAAUACUUUCAUACAUAUGUAUGGAUAGCUUAAGUUUUUAUGAGCAUAAUUUGGGCUUUUCAAAAUACUGACACAAUAACAAAGCAAAAUUGAGACACGCAUGUAAUUUGAAUACUGAUUUGGUUUUAUCUCUUCCUGGUGCUGGCACUUUUGAUGCUGCUCUUUUCCAUUCCAUCUCCUUUCUGUUCUGAUUUCCCAAUGAAUGGAAUAAGCUGUGAGUGCACUCACUGCUUCUACCAACCAAAUAUGGAACCUGAAGAAAUGUGUAUCUGUGACCUCCCGAAGAGUUUUGGACAAUUACUCAUCUGCUGUUAGCUCUGAGUUUUCUUUUGACUUCUUAAAGAUGUGUUCCCCAUCUCCUUCUCCAAUAGGAAAGUGAGCACUGUCAGACAGCUCUCACUGUGCUUCUUGGCAUUUUCAGUAACAUCAGCCCUGAUUUUUAUGUGCAGCCAUGCAGCAGUGCAAGGAGGUCAUUGCAAAGGAUGCCUUCUGCCUGCACCUCUGGGCAGAUGCCUGCAGUGUUGUAUGCAGACUCAGGCCAGUGUUCACCUUAGAGUGAACAGAAGGCAUUCCACCAACCAUUUACUGGUUCACAACAUUCAAGUCCACGUCUGCCUCUGAUGCUGGGUUUUGCUGUUGUUAAAGGGUUCUCUGUGGGGAUUAGGUCCAAGGAAGCUCUGCCAUAUCUCCUCGCCCUUUGUUGAGGUGUGAGAGUAGCAGGCAAAACCCCAGUCCCACCCCGUCUACAUGAAAGCCCAGAGGCACCUCACAUGCAGCUGCAGCCAGAUUGGAACAGUUUAAUGCUGUGGAGAAUUUGGUCCUAAAAAUUAUUCACAGAAAGUACUCAGUGAAUAAUUUCAAAGAGAAAAUUAAAAAGUGCUCAAGGGCAAUCUAUGAAGAACAGAAAAAGGGGGUUAAAUUCACCUAAUAAAUUAUUUGCAGAUUGAAUAAUUCAUGGAAAAUACAAGCCACAUAUAGAAGGGUUUGAUUCAGAAUGUCAGCCUACUCUGCAAAGCGCAGCUACCUCAGAACCUGCCUCUCUCAGGCACCAUGUUGGUGUGUUACCACAGCUGAGUUCCCAUCUGGAGUCAGAUGAGCAGUUCCAGCUUUGCGUACCCAAUGCCCAGCAGCACUUGGUGUCGGAGGGAUUUCUGCAAGGAAGGUCUUGUAAGUGGUUUAUUCCACCCCUGUCUAUUGUGGACUUCUUGCAUUGGGCAGAAACUGGCGUACAGCUUUCUUCAUAGCCAUACUCCCAGCCUGGCAGAUAUUUCCCUGUGUUUAAACUUUCAGAAUUUGAGCAGAGCUUUGCUCAGUUGUUUAAAGUUAAACACAUACGUAGACUGUGUGCAGAACUACACAUGUGUAUCAUAUGCUGAUUGCCUUAUCAUUUGACAAAUUGCUGUGUCCUGGACCUGCAGACUUAAAACCACUCUUAUAUAAAUGUAAAUGAACAUCUAAAACCUUCCUGAGAGCUGUUAAACUCUUGGCUUUGUCUCGUGGCAGAGAGUUGUGCUCAGCACAACACUUCUAACCAUGAUAACAUUCUCAAAAUGUUUAUGAAAACAGGUGAAAGCAUGAGGACAUGCAACGGAAAGCCCAGCAUUUUCAUACGUAAAGUAGGCAACCAAAGAAGCAUAUGAGAAUUCGUACAAAGAGAUUUUAAAAGAAAUUUAAUGAUAGACUUCUUAAACUCCCAAAUCGCUGUCGGACAAUAUAUAUGUUCAAAAACCUAUAAAAAUAUUUUAAAACAAUGUAUUUUCCUUUCCCUUGGCUGCCAAGAUCUCCAUUAGGAGGUUUGUGUUUCCUUCCAGCAUUAAAGAAUAUCUCUAACAUCUGUAGCAAUGAGCGGUGAGGAGUGUCAGUUCUGCUUCGGAAAGAAGCGGUGCCAUUUGGAAGGGGAAGAGGCGAUGAUGACUGCGCCUCUGAGAGCAGCCUGCUGUGCAGCAGGAGGUGUGCAGGGCCUCUUGCAGGGCUGCGCUUUCCGAGUUUGUUCUGCACACCUCUGAGGGACGCAGUCAGGUACGCAGGGCUUGGCCAGUGGGAAAAGCACUGCUGGGAGGUGCUGAGCCCAGCCUGCAUGCUGCUGAACACUGCUUGUGUGCUCCCCUGCCUGAUUUCCGGGUCAGAAAUGUCAUAUGAUCUGCAGAACUGACAGAGCCAGAGCAGUUCACAAACACUUCCCAGCAAAGUGACCUCGCCCUGAAGAAGGAAACACAACCGAUUCCCACCAGGAGUUUGGAACUGUGCAAACAGUGCCCGACGUUCUGAGGGAGCUGAGUGUGAUUCUCCUUCCUAACACUGCACCAUCUCUGUUUAGCAUGACGGCUCUCACAGAUAUUCCAGGUGUUCCCUAAUUUUAAGUGGAAAAUUCCCUUGAAUUCUGCAGGAAAUAAAGCAGCCAGGGGAUCCUGCCCCAUCCUUAAGGAGCCACGUAAACAGGCGUGAGUGACACUCAAGCUUAAAGACAACCAAAAGGGGAAAAAAAUGACAAAGUUUCCAAAACCUUUUGGGUGCACCUCAGUCUCAGAGCUGCACUGCCCAGCUGUGCUUCCCUAGAAAUGCCUGUGGGUGCCAGCAGUUGGGACAGCAGUUGGCAGUCGUAGCAGCAGAGGUGUGCACACGUAUUGCCCACAAAGACACGGCUGCUGCAGGGGCUGUGCCUGCAGGGUUUGUGAUGGGACUCCUGAUGUGUGUCAGAGACAGAGGCUGAAAUCCACGGUGGCUGAAAGGAAAGAUAACGCACUGCUCCUCGACCUGAACUGCAAUGGGAAGGGGGAAAUAUCAGUGUUAAUCUUGCUACUCGAGCCUGAAUCUAUGUUAUAUUUUGCUUAACUUUUCCGGCUUGUUUGUAAUUCUGUCUAUAAUAAACGUAUGGCUUUAUAUUUAUUAUCUGCAUAUAGGCUGACUCAAAAACGUGAAUUCAUCCUUAAUUAUUUUUUGUGUGUUAAAGUUACACCCUCAGUGUUAUUUUAACGUAGGGCUUUUUUGUAAUGUAAUGAUAUUUAAUUUGCAUUAGCACAAGUGACAUACAAUAGAUCAUGCUAUUAUCAUGAUUGAUAUCAGAUGAACGGGCAUAAAUUCAACAUUAUAAAUUGAGCCUAUAAAUGAAACUAUUAUUUUACAGGAAUUACUGUAGUAGAAAGGCUAAGGACCCUCAAGUCAACCUUAGUCAAACCCACUCUUUAGACUUUUAUAUUUUAUGCCUGCAAUAAAUGCUUUCGUGAAAGCCCAUAACCGGCAAAAAAAAAGUCAUUGGAAGUCUAUUAAUUAUAAUAAUACCAUCCAAAAAGCUGCGAGGGCUUAUUUUUGUGACAUCACUCUUUGAUUUCUUACUGCCUUAAAUUAUCCCUUUGUUGGCUGGGUGAGGGUAACAGUCAUACUUUUGUCAUUAAAUAUAAGGAGUUUUAAAGCCUGAUCCACCUUAGCUCUAAUUGAUAUUGCUUUCAUUUGGCAGAUAGUGACCUGAUUUAUAAUUUAAAUAUGCAUCAUUAUGUGCACCUCUUCUGUAUAAUGAAAAAGCGAAGUUACUCUCAUCUUUUCCUGCAAUGUUAACAUCAAGGAAAAGUAUCUUUCUUUUUUCCCUUUUAUACUCAGAGCCUAAUUGAAAACUGUUCAUUGAAUUUCAACAUGAUAGAAAAGUCUUUUUAUCUCUCAAUUUGUCCAUUAGCUAUUAUAAUUGAAGUAUCUGCUACACGGCUGAAUUGAUAUUGUUCUUGUUUAAAUUCUGGAUUUCUCUAAAUCUCCUAUGAGGCAUCAACUAAAAAAAUGUGGGUUAGGAGACACCAGCUAACAGUGCUGCCGAAAUGGGGCGUUAGGCGAGCACUCCACGUGUGUGCAGCUACAGAAAGUAGGAAGUCAUCUAAUUUUACUGGAGAACGUGUUGCAUAAUAAUCCUAACAGCAUGACCAUAAGGUUUGCUAAUUGCCACAUCUGUUUAACGGCUGUCAGAUGUUUGCCAUAUGCUGCCAUCAAUAUUACAGCAGAGUACAUUACGGGGAGUUUUAUUGUGUUCGACUGUUAUUUAUUUGCCACAGACAUUACUGCAGCCAGUGACGUCUAUUUAUGUUAGAUCACUAAUUAUAUUUUAAAAGCUGCAUGUAAAAUCCCUGUUUUCCAGCUUCCUUAGGCCCUAUUUCUGAUGAUGUAACCAAUAACUUUUUCCUUACAGAUCUCUGGACUGAUUUAUAAAUUUCUCUCUCCGUCUGGUAAAUAAUUCUUCAGUAGAAUAACUUAUUUAUGCUGUUUUUGAAGGGUAUUUCUGUACCCAAGUUAGCUUCUAAUGGUGUUGUUUGUAGGAGCUCAGAAAUAACUUUCUUUUUCAAAGAGCCCACUUCACCCCAUGCUUUUUUUCAACGGUACACGGAUCGUGGGUGGAAGAUAAUUCAGUGCUCACAGCUAGGGAUGCUGGGUACCUUCAUUCUAAGCCCAGCCUGCCCUGUACCCACCACAUGACCUUGAUUCCUUACAGGACCUUAAUUCUCAUUUGCCAUUCUGUAAGCUAAUAGCUUCUGCACAGCCGUACUGUACCUACAGAGCAGUACCUACAGAGCUCACCCAUUGAACGCCUGUAGGGAGCACCAGGUGAUGCAGCAGUGCUACCAUUAAGGCACAGAAAUAGGGCUCAUCUCCGCUGGUCUUUUGAACAUUCUUUCUUGCUUUCUUUAAAUGACCUUUCAAUCGGUCUCUGCAUUGCUUUUGCGUUACAUGUAGCUGCUGCAGCAGUGAAAUAGGAAGCAGGGAUUGACAAAGUGCAGACUAGGCAAAAUAUGCGUGAUGUGAUUUAAUAUGAGUUGAUAGGUGUCACUGAUCUCUAUUAUAAAUAGACUGUGUGAAUUCCAUAUGAUGUAUUAUUUAUCUAUUGUAGAUGCCUUUUUGUUUCAUUAAUAAAGCUGGAAAUCAGACAUAUACGUUUCCAAUGAUGAGUUUUUGGCAAUACAAGGCAUCGUGGUAUUUGUCUGCAAUUGCUCAAUUAUUUUGAUGAUUUUCUUCUUCUUUCCCCAUAAAUGAUUAAUGCUUGAGAUGUUUUCUCAAGAUUCUUCUGAUUUUAGCUCAUUUGUCCAGCUGAAGUCUUUUUUCCCUCUCUGAUGAAAGGAGAUUACUGCAGUGUAAGGACGUACACUUUGACCUGAGCUGUAGCUCCUUUGGAGCGCUGUGCUGUAGCACACAGCAGAGGUCCUCUGACUGAGGUCUGUGAGGUUUGGUAACUCCAGCAAAACUCACAUCAGCAAUGCGCAUUCAGUUUAAAUCUGCUUCAAAGCAGAAACUCAUUUGCUCUUGUUCUACCUGCAGUUAAAAACGUUCCCCAGGUAUUUCUGUGCUUGAGAGUGUCCAUCGCUGCUUACAUAGGUAGGAAAGACUUCACAUUUCAAAACCCUGAAGCGAGCCGUAAGAAGCAGCCAGCAGUGCCUCCUGCCUACUCUUUCUGAAGAUGCUCAAGCCAAGAUAUCCUUGAGGACGUCAAAGCUUAAAACAAAAGGCAGAACUGGGGGUGGUGCCGGGCGCAGGACACAGCCCUCGGCCCUGGGGGGACAGAUGGCAGCGGCACCGGCAGCGCUGCCCGCAGCAGGAGGUGCUGCGCUCCCCUGAGGUCUGCCUUCCGAGAACACCUCCAUCGUAACUGAAAUGCGUCUGCCUUCUGCAUUUGAUCUCCUUAUUUUCUUCUCAUAUGCCUUUUUAAUGCUGUUUGUAGCCAUUUCAAUUAUGUGAUUUCCUUAUCUGUAUACCAUUGAGAAUACUGUAC
ensembl:lncRNA